UUAAGCUGAAACUUGAAUCACAUGUAUAACCCUGCCACGCACCGUCUUGAAAAAGUAAUAUCUCGAAAAGAUGGCACAGCAAGUGCCAGUACCCUGAGGAACAAGUGUUUGAAGAAGAGUCAUAAGAGCAGAGUGACCAGAACAUGGAUGGAACCCUCAGACCCAAGAUAGGGCUGUUUAGGCGGAUGAGCCUAAAAAUAUGAAACGUCCAGAUUUCCUGGAACCCUCAGGGCCAACAAGAGCAAACCCUUAACACUUACAAGAACGGGAGAGCCUCCCCACUUCUGAAAACUGUUCAAUUAACUCAGUUUGAAGCAAGUUAAUAUUUAUUCUGCUCAGAAAAUGCCCUGCCACUCCUCGUGACUUCCAGACAAAGUUUCAACACAGCCUAAUAAGUAAAUGAUGGAAAAUUGGAAAAGAUCACAGCUGGGACUCCCACCCCGCUUGAGUGGUAGAAAGAAAGCUCCUACUCUAUUCUUAAAUCCACCCAGGUCACCUUCAAAUGUUUCCACCCUCAGGUUUAGGUACCAUCAUACAUUUUGUGCUGUGAAAUGUACCCAACCUCAUCUGUAGAAUGAUUCCAUUCCUUCAGAAAUUGUAUGACAAGCCUAUCAAGGUACGGAGAAUACCUGCGCCCCCCGAGACUAAUUCCACUUCCAAGGAGAAGGUCAGUUCAAGGUCUG